rnacentral:rRNA from 1 species
GAUGAACGCUGGCGGCGUGCCUAAUACAUGCAAGUCGAGCGAACAGAUAAGGAGCUUGCUCCUUUGACGUUAGCGGCGGACGGGUGAGUAAAACGUGGGUAACCUGCCUAUAAGACUGGGAUAACUUCGGGAAACCGGAGCUAAUACCGGAUAAUAUUUCGAACCGCAUGGUUCGAUAGUGAAAGAUGGUUUUGCUAUCACUUAUAGAUGGACCCGCGCCGUAUUAGCUAGUUGGUAAGGUAACGGCUUACCAAGGCGACGAUACGUAGCCGACCUGAGAGGGUGAUCGGCCACACUGGAACUGAGACACGGUCCAGACUCCUACGGGAGGCAGCAGUAGGGAAUCUUGCGCAAUGGGCGAAAGCCUGACGGAGCAACGCCGCGUGAGUGAUGAAGGUCUUCGGAUCGUAAAACUCUGUUAUUAGGGAAGAACAUACGUGUAAGUAACUGUGCACGUCUUGACGGUACCUAAUCAGAAAGCCACGGCUAACUACGUG